rnacentral:rRNA from 1 species
UACGAAGGGGGCUAGCGUUGUUCGGAAUUACUGGGCGUAAAGCGCGCGCAGGCGGUCCUUCAAGUCAGGGGUGAAAGCCCAGGGCUCAACCCUGGAAUGGCCUUUGAGACUAGAGGACUUGGGUACGGGAGAGGUGAGUGGAAUUCCGAGUGUAGAGGUAGAAAUUCGUAGAUAUUCGGAAGAACACCAGUGGCGAAGGCGGCUCACUGGCCCGUUACCGACGCUCAGGCGCGACAGCGUGGGGGAGCAAACAGG